GUUUUAGGGUUUAGAUUUGAAGGUUUAGUGUUUUAGGGUUUAGAAUUGAUGUUUUAGGGUUUAGAGUUGAUGUUUUAGGGUUUAGAUUUGAAGGUUUGGAGUUUAGGGUUUAGAGUUGAUGUUUUGAGGUUUAAGGUUUAGAGUUGAUUCUUCAUGGUUUAGGGUUUAGAGUUGAUGAUUUAGAGUUUUAAGUUUAGAUUUAAGGUUUAGGGUUUACGUUUAGGGUUUAUAGUUGAUGUUUUAAGUUUAAAUUUGAAGGUGGUUUAGGAUUUAGGGUUUAGAGUUGAUUUUUCAUGGUUUAGGGUUUAGAGUUGAUGAUUUAGGGUUUAAAGUUGAUGUUUUAAGUUUAGAUUAGUUAAACAUAUGUUUUUUUUGUGAGAGUUAAUCAAAAGAUUAUAAAUGUCUUUUACCCUUCAUUAAAGAUGAGGGUAAAA
rnacentral:lncRNA from 1 species